UUGCCCCUUAAAUGGUACAAAGAUAGAAGGUACAAUUUUGUACCUAUGACUAGAGGUACAAAAUUGUACCCUUCAGGGUACCACCCCGGCGUCGGCCACUUGUACCUUAAAAGGUACAGUUUUGUACGUUUCUUUCUGAGAGUGUAGGAGAAAAAUAUUGAAUAGCUUCAACUGCAACAAGCCUGAAGAUGACAUCUGCACACAACAGAAAUCAUGUUUCUAUGGACUGUGUUAUCUUUUGCCUCCUUUAGGUUUGGCCAUCGGUGGAGGGGGGGCUCUCUCUCUCUCUCUCUCUCGCUCGCUCUUUCUCUGUAAUUUCUCUCUCUCGCAGGUAAUAUUUUACAUUCAUGCUGGGUACAAUUAACUGUUUAUGUUUAACCAUUCUUCAUCUAUUUUGUGGCAGUGGGUGGUAAUAGACUAGAAAUGCACAGUUUUAUACCAUCGUGCUGAUGACGUUUAUUCAAGCCUGAACACUGCAGGGAAACCAAUUUUUACAAUUCCUAGGAAGCUGCAUUAAUCGAGAUGCGCGUGUGCUUGAUAUGACCGACAGCAGGUCUGUCUUUCAGUGUGAGUAUCUCUCGCGGUCUCCGGAUGUAAUAGUUCAUGUGUGACGCAGUGCAUCCUGUAUAGUACUCCCCUAAGCAGUGAACUGCCCGCUUCUCCCUCAGAUUGAUAUCAAUAACGAGGACACGCGCUAGAAUUAAUUCAGAAGGUUUCCGGUGAAGAAUCAUUCUGCUCUCUGCACGCGGUUUUUGGCCAAGGAUUCUCUUAAGCACUGAAUCAUGUUUAACGUCAUCAAUGUGUCAUGUGCAGAGAUUGAGAGCGCAGGGGGGUUUCUGUUUGUGAUUCAGUCUGUUAUACUGAACCAAACACUCAGUGCUGACUGUGAGCAGAGCUGGUAUUCACAGGACAGGCGUCUGAUCGCAGAUCCAUCAAAACCACACAAAGUGAUUGAUCCUGCGACGUCUGUAUCAUCUGAUCAUCUCUUCACUUCUUACUGUGUGAAUCUGAAUCAUGAGAUCAUCUGUGAUUCUGCUGAUGGAUCUCAUUUCAGUCGUGAGACCGUGUUCAGAGUGAGGAAUGAAACUCCAGUGACUCCAGACUCAGAUCAUUGGCUGUGGAUUCUGGUUGUUUUUAUUAUUGUAGUCCUUAUCAUCAUCUUGAUCUGUUUCUUGCGGCAGAAAAAGAAACUCGGAUGUUCUCCGAAUGUCUUUCUGCGCCAUGAUUCAGAAAACAGGGAUCCUGAAUCUGGUGUCCANUGUCCAAAUGAAGCUCAGAUCUGAUGAAUCUGAUUCACUGAAUCACUCUGUGCUGAACUGAAUCUCCGUUCAUCGUGACGUUCAUCGCUGAGUUUAGGAGUAAAUAUGAAAAGUGUUGAGAAGAUCCUGACCAUCAUCUGGACAUGGAGCCGCUUAACUCUCAGAUUCAGAUUUUCAGUCUUCAAGUUGGUCUCAACGAAUCAGAAGAGUCAGUUGAUCUUGUGUUCAGAUCAGUGAAACCUCUUUAACUCUCAUUGUUUCAGCUCAUUCACACAGUUUUAAAGUAUUUAUGAGUGAUUUCACUGUGAGGGAAUUGAGCUUUUAAUUCUUGCAGACGAGACUCAUUCCUUGAUCAUGGUUCUGUAUUCUGUGUAAAUAUAAUGCAGCUGCUGAUAUAAUAAAGAGGAGGAAUCUGCUAAAUGCUGUGAUUUU
ensembl:lncRNA